CUGCUAUCACCUCUGAAAAUUGAGUUAAAAAAGCUGCAUUAAGACCUUGGAGUGGGAACAGGCUCCCACUUUGCAAGCCCGAACAAAAGCGAAUACGGGAAGGAAAGGGAGGCCAUUUCCCUCAGUGGAUCAGUGGACAGAGCCCUGGUCCAGGUCUUCUCUGGAAUGUAAAGUGUCACCACUGGCGAGGUCAUCCUGCAGACUCCCUCGGGUUUAGAGCCAUGCAAACAGAAAGACAUUGGGUGACAGGAGCUGACAUGUUUUUGAGACUGGAAUGACAUGCAUCUGAAACAGACAGCAGAUAACAACAUAAUUUGGAGAUGGUGCUGGGUUGAUAAUAUGGGUUGAGGCAUCCAGAUCGAGUUACGAAGUCGGGUUUCGUUGCCACGAGGUCAAAGAUCCUCAUUCCACAGGACCCCGCCAUCCAUCUCUAUGUUAUUCGGUUUUUCAUUGCUAUGGAACAAACACCUGAAUUGCCUUUAGCUUCCAUCUCUCAGUUGUUUCUCUUUGUACAUUUGCUUCAUUUUCUCCAGAUGAUUGCUUCCUCUGUACCCCUAGAGAUGGCUGCAAACAGCUCCACAAUCACCCUUAGAGCUGGUUACCCAGGAGGCAGACAGAGCUACUCUCCUAUGGCAGCCACAUCAGUGCCUAAAGUGGACUCUGAUUGGCUAUAUUUGAGUCAUGUGCCCAACUCCCUGCCAAUCAUUGUGAUCAAGGCUAGACAGCCAAAAGUAAGACAGGUACCCUCCCUGUGUUAGGAGGUGAGGUCAACCCCACCUGAAUCACAUAGAAUGGCUUUCCCAAAGAAAAUAAAAUAUCAGAGCAGGCCAAACAGCCCGCCAUGCUGAGGCUGAGGGGCCCCCCUCUGCUCUGCCCCCAAAGCCUGGCACAAGUGCAUUCCCAGUCCCUGACCCCUCAGGCUGGCUCCUCCCUGUGGGUUCCUAUCUGUGUUUACCAAACAGGCCCAGCUAAGCAGUAAAUUCCUCCCAGUCCCCAGCAUAGCCCCAGGCACCAAGGAAGCCCUUGAAAAGCCCUUUCCCAGCAAGUAAAAGCAAAUACUUGGGGAAGAAGUCUGAGGAAAAAACCACCUGGCCUCCCUGUCCUUAAUUUGUCCUUCAGCUGAUGAGAACUCCUUAAAGGACCUGGAUGGAAUGUUCCAGAAAACACUCAUGCAUGCAAACAGAGAAAAUGCCCACAGUCCAAACAUACCUGUUUCACCCCAGUUGGUAGCUGUUGAGUAUUUGACAACUCCUUCUCUACAAAAAGGCAUUCCAAGCCAAAGGGAAGACAGCUCAUUUAUUUGCUGAACAAGACUGGAAGCCUCACAGUCUUGGAAGAUCCCAGCCCCAUCGCAGCAGGGAUAAUAAACUCCGGGUUUUGGCAGGUAUCUCCUCCUGCCUCCCUCCAUGAUGCCGCUGUGGAAAACGGUCAGCAAGGCUAUCUCCCACUGGGUUCUAAAUGCCCACAGUAGGCAGUCCUGGGUCGAUCCAGAAAAAUAUCUACAUUGUUCUUUGAUACGCUGAAUUGUGGCCCCCCACCAAAUUUGUAGGUUGAAGUCCUAAGCCCCAGGGCCCCAGGACCUCAGAACAUAAGUGUAUUUGGAGACACGGUCUUUAAAGAGGUAAUUAAGUUAAAAGGAGGUCAUUAGGGUGGGCCCUCGUCCAAUAUGGCUGGUGUCCUCAAAGAUAUUAGGAGACAGAUGCUCACAGAGAAAGACCAUGCACAGACAGAGGGAAGGGAGCCAAGAAGAGAGGCUUUGAAAGAAACCAACCCUGCAGACACCUUCCUCUCAGACAUAUAGCUUCCAGAAUUGUGAAAAAGUAAAUGUCUGUUGUGGAAGCCACCCAGAUGCGGAAUUUUAUCAGGGUAGCCCUAGCAACCUGAUACGCAUGCUUCACAAUUUACAAAGCUUUUAUUUUUCCCAACAAUCGUGAUUAGAGUAUCAUCCCUAUUUUAUUGAUAGGAAACUGAGACUAAAAAGCUAGUAGCAGAAAGUCAAAGUGACAGAGUCUUGACUUGAAUCCAGACUCUCUGACUUCUGAUCUCAUGUUCUCACAAUGGACUGUGCUUCCUAUUUGUCCAGUGCUCAGCACCAUUGGCUUUUAUAGGUUUCUGCAUCAGACAUUUA
rnacentral:lncRNA from 1 species